GGAAGUAUAGCUCAAGUGGUAAAGUGCAUGCUUAGCAUGCAUAAGGUCCUGGGUUCAAUCCCCAGUACCUCCU
rnacentral:tRNA from 1 species